rnacentral:pre_miRNA from 1 species
UAGACAGAUUUUUGUAUUCGAUUGUAUUCACGGUGUAAAUAGCGCAAUUCAUGGUCUAUUCAGCUGUUUUUAAACGGAAAGUGAAUUAAUUAACAUAAUAGAAUCCU